AUCUUAUUAGUUUAAUUAAAAUAUAACUCUGAAGAAGUUAAGAUUAAUGGGAUA
rnacentral:tRNA from 1 species